GCCAGACUCCUACGGGAGGCAGCAGUGGGGAAUAUUGCACAAUGGGGGAAACCCUGAUGCAGCGACGCCGCGUGAGUGAAGAAGUAUUUCGGUAUGUAAAGCUCUAUCAGCAGGGAAGAAAAUGACGGUACCUGACUAAGAAGCCCCGGCUAACUACGUGCCAGCAGCCGCGGUAAUACGUAGGGGGCAAGCGUUAUCCGGAUUUACUGGGUGUAAAGGGAGCGUAGACGGCAUGGCAAGUCGGAUGUGAAAGCCCGGGGCUCAACCCCGGGACUGCUCUGGGAACUGUGCGGCUGGAGUGCGGGAGGGGCAGGCGGAAUUCCUGGUGUAGCGGUGAAAUGCGUAGAUAUCAGGAGGAACACCGGCGGCGAAGGCGGCCUGCUGGACCGCGACUGACGUUGAGGCUCGAAAGCGUGGGGAGCGAACAGGAUUAGAUACCCUCGUAC
rnacentral:rRNA from 1 species